UACAGAGGGUGCGAGCGUUAAUCGGAAUUACUGGGCGUAAAGGGUGUGUAGGUGGAAACUUAAGUCAAGUGUGAAAGCCCCAGGCUUAACCUGGGCAGUGCGCAUGAUACUGAGUUUCUCGAGUACAGUAGAGGGUAGCGGAAUUUCCGGUGUAGCGGUGAAAUGCGUAGAUAUCGGAAGGAACACCAGUGGCGAAGGCGGCUAUCUGGACUGAUACUGAUACUGAGACACGAAAGCGUGGGGAGCAAACAGG
rnacentral:rRNA from 1 species